GACUAUUAUCUAAAUGGUGGCCGAUUGGGAAAGGAGGAGAUGCAGCGAGACCUGGGUGUCAUGGUACACCAGUCAUUGAAGGUAGGCAUGCAGGUGCAGCAGGCAGUAAAGAAAGCAAAUGGUAUGUUAGCUUUCAUUGCAAAAGGAUUUGAGUAUAGGAGCAGGGAGGUUCUACUGCAGUUGUACAGGGUCUUGGUGAGACCACACCUGGAGUAUUGCGUACAGUUUUGGUCUCCAAAUCUGAGGAAGGACAUUAUUGCCAUAGAGGGAGUGCAGAGACGGUUCACCAGACUGAUUCCUGGGAUGUCAGGACUGUCUUAUGAAGAAAGACUGGAUAGACUUGGUUUAUACUCUCUAGAAUUUAGGAGAUUGAGAGGGGAUCUUAUAGAAACUUACAAAAUUCUUAAGGGGUUGGACAGGCUAGAUGCAGGAAGAUUGUUCCCGAUGUUAGGGAAGUCCAGGACAAGGGGUCACAGCUUAAGGAUAAGGGGGAAAAUCCUUUAAAACCGAGAUGAGAAGAACUUUUUUCACACAGAGAGUGGUGAAUCUCUGGAACUCUCUGCCACAGAGGGUAGUUGAGGCCAGUUCAUUGGCUAUAUUUAAGAGGGAGUUAGAUGUGGCCCUUGUGGCUAAGGGGAUCAGUGGGUAUGGAGAGAAGGCAGGUACGGGAUACUGAGUUGGAUGAUCAGCCAUGAUCAUAUUGAAUGGCGGUGCAGGCUCGAAGGGCCGAAUUGCCUACUCCUGCACCUAAUUUCUAUGUUUCUAUGUUUUCAUGCCUGCCCCACCAUUCAAUGUGAUCACGGCUAAUCUGCCCGAGGCCUCAACCACUUUGUUGGAUCUCCACGGUCUUUAAUUCUCCACGUCAUAGACUCACAAAGCUACACACGGAAACAAACCCCUUGGCGCAGCUCGUCCAUGGUCUGUCAAACAUGUCUCCUUCCAGUAAUCCACAUGGGUGGAGAAUUCCAGAGAUUCACAUCACACUGUGAGAAGAUUUGUUUUAACGACCCUCCUCUUGAAAACAGUUUCGCUCGUCUGCAGGGGAUUGUGAAGCGAAUCCACGUGGGCUGUUAAAGUGAUCGAAGGGUUUAUUUGGCGGGGAAUCUCCACCAUCCAGCAGGCUGCCGCACUCAGGAUAUUCAUGGAAUCAAAGGUGGGGAAUAAUGCUAGAAACGGCGCUGAUGCAGAAGAUCAGCCGUGAACGCAGAACAGGGGUUACGGAUUCUCAACAUACCAGCGGGGAGAUGUGGGGGAGCACCACCCCACACAUCCCACACACUUUAACAGUCAGUAGUAUGGCGAGCCCGCGUCCCGCACUGCAGGGCGCAGUGCUCCACAGACACAACAUCUAAUGCGUCGUAUCUAAUCCAGUCGGCACGCAGACAAUAAAGUAGUUGAAGUUCAAAUUCGCAUUUAUUGUCACAACCGAUUACGGCACAGUGAAAUUUGAGUUACCAUACAGCCAUAUUAAGCGAAAAGAACAAAAUACACACAUAAUAUGAAAUUUAACAUAAACAUCCACCACAGUGGAAUCAUCAUUCCUCAUUGUGAAGGAAGGCAAUAAAGUUCAGCCAUCUUCCUCCUUUAUUCACCCGUGGUCGAGGCCUUUGAACCGUCGCAUUCACCGCUGCCGACGGCCCGAUGUUCAGGCCCUCUCGUCGGGAGGAUCGAAACUCCGACGACCGGGAGAGGCUUUAAACACGGAAAUAUGCUAGCGGGAGGUAGAAGAACUUGCUCGGAAAGGCGAUCGUGCAGUUGGUGCAGAGGAGAGAUACAGGAGAGGAUAAGCACAUGAGAAUACAUGUCGGAAAUUUCGACCUGCAGCGUUAACUCUGUUUCUCUCUCCAGUAUUACUGAUUUCCAUGUUAGAUAAAGAUCAGUCUUAAUGCGAAUGAAACGGCGAGGUCGGGGCAGACACAGGGACAGAAUGGCCUUUUGAACCAAUGGUCCGGAAGAAAUGGCUGAGGUAAUUUCAACCUAAUUUGUGGGUUGGAAAGGAAGGAAGAAAUGACCCGCUGUGUGCUUGCACCUCUCACACCCACUCUCCGAGAUGAAACAUGACGCCACCGGAAUAACGCGAAUCAUUGUUGCGGGCUCAGCCGAGGAGAUGGUUUCGGGGCGGGUUCAGCGCCGACUCCAAUAGCUGGCCGAGUGUGUUGAGGGAAGUCACUUAAUUCCUCUCACUUUCUAAACAACGAUCCAGCUGAGCGAACAUGUGGCUGUUUUCCUGUUUGUUCGUGCUAAGUUUGAGCUGUGGGUGUUUGGCCCAGACCCUGACCCAGCCCAAAGGAUCGCUAACCUCGUCUGCCGGUAAAACAGUGCGAGUCUGGUGUCAAGUGAAUGACGGCCAAAUUAGUGACACCAACCCCAUUCACUGGUACCAACAGAAAGCCGGGCAGCCGAUCGCUCGGAUACUCUACUUUGGAAAUAGCGUGGUGCGGGAUCCGGGCUUUGGGACCUCCUUCAACGGUGGGAAAACCACUGACACCGCAUUCUACCUCGCAAUUGAAUUAACGGCUGACAAAUCUGCCACCUAUUACUGCGCCUGCUGGGUUACACAGCGUGUAACAGAAACACAAUCUCCGCACAAAAAGCCAGAACACCUGUGUGCACCUGAUCCGGAGACUGCAACAACCCGCCGCUGCACCCCUCGCCUACUGCAACAACACGCCGAUGCACCCCUCGCCUACUGCAACAACACGCCGAUGCACCCCUCGCCUACCGCUUCUCACAGGGACAGGUGCUGGGGUCCAAGCGAGUAGCAGCCGCUAAAACGGCCCGGAUCUCCAGUUACAAGGAAGCGUUUCCGCUUGAACGAUGAGACUGACCCUUGUGUUACCCAAUUCCUGGAAGCUGUCCUCCCGCGGAGCGGUGGGCGAGGGACUGGCCCGGCCGGUGUGGUGACAAAUGGACUCGCUUUACCUACAGAGUUCCCAAUCACCCGACUCUGACGCUGCUCGUCAGAAAACAUCAUCCCGAUUCCAAGACAUUACUGCAGGGCUAUUUUCUUCCACCCAGAAAUCUGCAAUAAGCGUGUUCGGUAUUCCGACAACGCAUGCCCAGGUUAUAGGUCACUAGCUAUAAAACAGCCUUGGCAACGGUGAUGCUGCAUUGUGUGCAAGCGCGUUUCGUCAGUAGUCGGGGUUGGCCCUCCGUCGCUGCGGGUGCUGUUGGGCCGUCCCCUCCCCGGUGUCCCGUCCCUGCCUGGAUGUGUCCUGGUUGGCCCUGGGCUGGCGGGGCGACCCUGGACUUGCAGCCGCUGGCUCCAGCUCGGCUCUGCCUGUCCCGCCGGGUUGGCCCCGGCAGCCCUCCACCUCCACCUCCUCCCCUCAGUCGGACUCGUACUGUUGCCACGCAACGCCAACUGGAGUACAUGCGGUGAACUGCAGGUAAGCGUGUCUUUGGUAAGCACUUACCCUGGCUUCCAGUGAAGGGGCCCGUCUUCUAUCCCAGCCUCCGGACUCCACGCAGACUGGAUCCACACUCGUGGACCCCGGCCAUCUAUCCCCCUGCCGCUUACACCUUGGUGUUCGGGUUCAGUGCAAAGAUAGUAGGGCAUGUGGUUCAGAGCGCUCAGUCACCCUCCACAAUUAUUUACAGCGCAAAAAUUGACCAUUUCGGCGGUUUUAACAAGUAAAAAAGUACGCGUUUCGUGUGUUAACAGUGUAUGCGGGAGGCUGCCAUGUCCUCCAGACAGAUUGAGCUGCUCCGUGCGUCACGCCCUUUGACCCGAUGACCUUACAUGCAGCCCCCUGUAGCGCUGAGAUCUAUUUACUGUUAUAGCUUACGACCUUUGACAAAUCCCAUGUUUCCUUGCGUUUUUCGAAAUACCGAACUCACUUAUUGUUUCAUCAAUGAACUCCGUCUGUGUAACAAGUGCACCAAGAAGUGACAAUCUACAGCAAGUCAGUCUAAUGAAACAUC